UACGAAGGGGGCUAGCGUUGCUCGGAAUCACUGGGCGUAAAGGGUGCGUAGGCGGGUUUUUAAGUCAGAGGUGAAAUCCUGGAGCUCAACUCCAGAACUGCCUUUGAUACUGAAAGUCUUGAGUAUGGGAGAGGUGAGUGGAACUGCGAGUGUAGAGGUGAAAUUCGUAGAUAUUCGGAAGAACACCAGUGGCGAAGGCGACUUACUGGACGAUUGUUGACGCUGAGGUGCGAAAGCGUGGGGAGCAAACAGG
rnacentral:rRNA from 1 species